rnacentral:rRNA from 1 species
GUAACGGGGUGUUAGGGCACGACACCGGAGAGGGAGCCUGAGAAACGGCUACCACAUCCAAGGAUGGCAGCAGGCGCGCAAAUUACCCAAUCCCGACACGGGGAGGUAGUGACAAAUAAAUAACAAAUACGGGGUUCUAAAGGAUUUCGUAAUUGGAAUGAGUACAAAUUUAAAUCUCUUGACGAUCAACAAUUGGAGGGCAAGUCUGGUGCCAGCAGCCGCGGUAAUUCCAGCUCCAAUAGCGUAUAUUAAAGUUGUUGCAGUUAAAAAGCUCGUAGUUGAAUUUCGGGGUUAGUAGGUUGGUCAUGCCUCUGGUAUGUACUGAUCUCACUGAUUCCUACCUUCUGACGAACCAUCAUGUCAUUAAUUUGGUGUUGCAGGAAAUCAGGACUGUUACUUUGAAAAAAUUAGAGUGUUUAAAGCAGGCUUAGGCUUGAAUACAUUAGCAUGGAAUGAUGAAAUAGGACGUUUGAACCUAUUUUGUUGGUUUCUAGGAUCGACGUAAUGAUUAAUAGGGAUAGUUGGGGGCAUUAGUAUUCAAUUGUCAGAGGUGAAAUUCUUGGAUUUAUUGAAGACUAACUACUGCGAAAGCAUUUGCCAAGGAUGUUUUCAUUAAUCAAGAACGAAAGUUAGGGGAUCGAAGACGAUCAGAUACC